rnacentral:rRNA from 1 species
GACAGAGGUGGCAAACGUUGUUCGGAAUUACUGGGCGUAAAGCGCGUGUAGGCGGCCAUCUAAGUCGGGCGUGAAAUCCCACGGCUCAACCCUGGAACUGCCUUCAAAACUCCCAGUCUUGAGGUCGAGAGAGGUGAGUGGAAUUCCGAGUGUAGAGGUGAAAUUCGUAGAUAUUCGGAGGAACACCAGUGGCGAAGGCGGCUCACUGGCUCGAUACUGACGCUGAGGUGCGAAAGCGUGGGGAGCAAACAGG